GAUAUAUUUGCAUAUGUAUUGCUUCGGCUGGAAUGAUGCAGAGAAAAUUGGCAUGGCCUCUGCGCAAGAAUGACACGCAAACUCGUCAAAGGCGCUAUUUCAAG